rnacentral:rRNA from 1 species
UACAGAGGGGGCGAGCGUUGUUCGGAAUUACUGGGCGUAAAGGGCGCGUAGGCGGCCAACUAAGUCAGACGUGAAAUCCCUCCGGCUCAACCGGGGAACUGCGUCUGAUACUGGAUGGCUUGAAUUCGGGAGAGGGAUGCGGGAAUUCCAGGUGUAGCGGUGAAAUGCGUAGAUAUCUGGAGGAACACCGGUGGCGAAGGCGGCAUCCUGGACCGAGAUUGACGCUGAUGCGCGAAAGCCAGGGAGCAAACGGG